UUAUCUUUCAUUUAGAAAAUUCAAAUAUCAGAAGAUUCAUUAUUUUCUCCAAAGCUGCUUUUUCCUCUUCCCCCCAAAACUGCUCCUCUUCUCUCCAGUGAAGCCGCUUCGUCUCUCAUUCUCUUCUUAGUAAACGAAUACUGUUUUUAAUGGACCGGGGAAGAGAAACUCAUGCUGCUGAUGGGUUGUACCAUGAUUGGAGGACUGAUAAAAACGCUUUGGUUUCGCCGGUUCUUUCCGAUGAGAUCUGUAUCUGGAUUGUUAGAAAUCUGGAUUCUUUAAAAAAUUCAUUUCGUUAAUCUGUUCCUGUUAUAAUUUUCACAUCUCUCUAAAUCUUUUCGUUACGACAUAUACCAUGUAGGUAAUCCUGUUCCAGCAGUUAACUUGAUCGGACCGGUCUCGCAGCCGGUUGCGGUCACUUUUCAUGCAGUACGCAGCGUAGAACUCCUUUGUCGGAUGUUUCUAAUCAUUCUUUCUUGCGAAGUACGCAGAAAUCAACGGCACACUCUCCUCAAGAAAUUAUGAUACAUAUGCCUGGUCUGUUGUGCGAUGAAAAUUUCCAGUUGUUAUGUCCUCCAAAUUUGACGCCGGAACCUGAUGUGCAAUCUCAGAGGCGUUGCCUCCCCCUAUUUCGAGUACCAAUCAAUGUGAAUCUCCGCACGCUGAAUAUUUUCCUCUUGAUCAGAUAAAGUCAAAUAUAAUUUCAAGUAUAAAAGAUACCAAUGAUGAUGAAUAUUGGCAGCAUUAUGAGAAUCUUAAUGCGCGGUAUGAUAAGAAUUUUGCCAAAGGUGUGUGUGCUGUUGAAAAGAUGCCCGGUAUAUCAGUGUUCACGCAUGGCCAGUGCUGUAAGUCGGGUUACCAGUCGACGUGGUCUUAAAAAUUUUCGUUGAUGAUAGCAGUGGACACAGUACAAAUAUACUGAUAAUGUUGUGUUUAAGGAAGUGUUCUACAAUAUACGUGUAACAUAGUAUAUGUAGUGUCCGAUAGAUUGUCUGUAGUUUUUAAGCAUACCAAAUUUGGAGUCUUCAUGUACUCUGUCUUCUGUUUUUAUGCUAUGUUUCUUAUUGUAUUAAGUCAGUUUGAAUAAGUUUGAAAAGUAAGGUAUUACAGUAACUUUGAAAUGGUUUGAUCGCAGAGAUAGUAACACAUCACGAUGAUGUUGUAGUAAAUGCUUGAUGUGUGACGUUGUUAAACUUCUCUUUUGUAUACAAAGCAUUACUGUAUUAGUAUUA